AGCGGAGGAAAAGAAACUAACAAGGAUUCCCCUAGUAGCGGCGAGCGAAGCGGGAAGAGCUCAAAUUUAUAAUCUGGCACCUUCGGUGUCCGAGUUGUAAUCUCUAGAAAUGUUUUCCGCGUUGGACCGCACACAAGUCUGUUGGAAUACAGCGGCAUAGUGGUGAGACCCCCGUAUAUGGUGCGGACGCCCAGCGCUUUGUGAUACAUUUUCGAAGAGUCGAGUUGUUUGGGAAUGCAGCUCAAAUUGGGUGGUAAAUUCCAUCUAAAGCUAAAUAUUGGCGAGAGACCGAUAGCGAACAAGUACCGUGAGGGAAAGAUGAAAAGCACUUUGGAAAGAGAGUUAACAGUACGUGAAAUUGUUGGAAGGGAAACGCUUGAAGUCAGACUUGCUUGCCGAGCAAUCGGUUUGCAGGCCAGCAUCAGUUUUCCGGGAUGGAUAAUGGUAGAGAGAAGGUAGCAGUUUCGGCUGUGUUAUAGCUCUCUGCUGGAUACAUCUUGGGGGACUGAGGAACGCAGUGUGCCUUUGGCGGGGGUUUCGACCUCUUCACACUUAGGAUGCUGGUGGAAUGCU
rnacentral:rRNA from 1 species